rnacentral:rRNA from 1 species
CCCUUAUGCUUUUGGAGCNGCCNAUGUCUGAUUAGCUAGUUGGUAAGGUAAANGCUUACCAAGGCGACGAUCAGUAGUUGGUCUGAGAGGACGACCAGCCACACUGGGACUGAGACACGGCCCAGACUCCUACGGGAGGCAGCAGUGGGGAAUUUUGGACAAUGGGCGAAAGCCUGAUCCAGCAAUGCCGCGUGAGUGAAGAAGGCCUUCGGGUUGUAAAGCUCUUUCAGUCGAGAAGAAAAGAUUAUGACUAAUAAUCAUAAUUUAUGACGGUAUCGGCAGAAGAAGCACCGGCUAACUACGUGCCAGCAGCCGCGGUAAUACGUAGGGUGCAAGCGUUAAUCGGAAUUACUGGGCGUAAAGGGUGCGCAGGCGGCUCUGCAAGUCAGAUGUGAAAUCCCCGGGCUUAACCUGGGAACU